UCUGGUUAUGACAACCAAUCAGAUCGUCGUCUCCCACCAAUAAUUGCACUCGCCAACCAAUCCGAGACGCCAGUGCAACCAAGAGGUAACCAAGAAUUGACGAAUGAGGAUAGAGCUAUGGCGGGACCAUUAAACGCCAGAAGAGGACGAUGGAAAAAUAUAUUUCCUCUCAUGUAAUUUUCGCGAGUCAUCUUUCUUUUUCUAAAGUAGCUACGAUAUUUUGUUGUAUGCUGUUUUCAUUGAUCAUCAUCAUCGAUCGGGAAUAUCUAACAGCAAACAAUGCGCCCUGCUUCAGAAAACUGCCAAAUGGAAGCCUUGUCUUAACGGACAGUAAGGAUUUAAGGAUUUACAGGACAAAGGCUACUAAAAGAGCAUGGAGCAAGGCUGGGUCUCCAGACAUAGUGGUGGAUUCAGCCUGGAGGGCUGUACUGCUUUCCCAGCUGGACAUAGUUCACAACAUCCUUAACCAGCUGGACAAAGGUCACAACAUUCUUUCCCAGCGGGACAAAGGUCACAACAUCCUUUCCCAGCUGGACAAAGGUCACAACAUCCUUAACCAGCUGGACAAAGGUCACAACAUUCUUUCCCAGCGGGACAAAGGUCACAACAUCCUUUCCCAGCGGGACAAAGGUCACAACAUCCUUUCCCAGCUGGACAAAGGUCACAACAUCCUUUCCCAGCUGGACAAAGGUCACAACAUCCUUUCCCAGCUGGACAAAGGUCACAACAUCCUUAACCAGCUGGACAAAGGUCACAACAUUCUUUCCCAGCUGGACAAAGGUCACAACAUCCUUUCCCAGCUGGACAAAGGUCACAACAUCCUUAACCAGCUGGACAUAGGCCAGACUGUAACACAGGGGCCUGACAGUAACACAGGGGCCUGACAGUGACACAGCGGCCUGACAGUAACACAGGGGCCAGACUGUAACACAGGGGCCUGACAGUAACACAGCGGCCUGACAGUAGCACAGCGGCCUGACUGUAACACAGCGGCCUGACAGUAACACAGGGGCCUGACAGUAACACAGCGACCUGACAGUAACACAGCGACCUGACAGUAACACAGGGGCCUGACAGUAACACAGGGGCCUGACAGUAGCACAGCGGCCUGACAGUAACACAGGGGCCUGACAGUAACACAGGGGCCUGACAGUAACACAGGGGCCUGACAGUAGCACAGCGGCCUGACUGUAACACAGUGACCUGACAGUAACACAGGGGCCUGACAGUAGCACAGCGGCCUGACAGUAACACAGCGGCCUGACAGUAACACAGCGGCCUGACAGUAACACAGCGGCCUGACAGUAACACAGCGGCCUGACUGUAACACAGCGACCUGACAGUAACACAGGGGCCUGACAGUAGCACAGCGGCCUGACAGUAACACAGCGGCCUGACAGUAGCACAGCGGCCUGACUGUAACACAGCGGCCUGACAGUAACACAGUGACCUGACAGUAGCACAGCGGCCUGACAGUAACACAGCGGCCUGACAGUAACACAGCGGCCUGACAGUAACACAGCGGCCUGACUGUAACACAGCGGCCUGACUGUAACACAGUGACCUGACAGUAGCACAGCGGCCUGACAGUAACACAGCGGCCUGACAGUAACACAGCGGCCUGACAGUAACACAGCGGCCUGACUGUAACACAGCGGCCUGACUGUAACAGGUAUGUUGAGGCAGUUGUCGCUAAAUUGUGGACGACACAUCUCCAUCCUAAGUGAGUUGAUGGAGUCAGGCUGGACUGCUGGACUCUCAUGGGACGUGGCUAUAAUAACAUCAGAGUGUCAACAACGCCAUGUUGAUGCAGGAGACUGACCUAAUGCUGCCAGUCCUCAGACAUGCCACUUUAACACAAUGGUGUGCUUGAGUUGUUGAUUUCAUAUACAGUGCCUUUGGAAACUAUUAAGACUUUUUCCACAUUUUGUUACGUUACAGCCUCAUUCUAAAAUGGAUUAAAUAAAUAAAAAAGCAAUCUACACACAAUAGCCCAUAAUGACAUCACAAUAGCCCAUAAUGACAUCACAAUAGCCCAUAAUGACAUCACAAUAGCCCAUAAUGACAAAUCGAAAACAUAUUUUUAGAAAUGUUUGCAAAUAAAAAAAAUUAAAAAAAAAUUGAAAUACCUUAUUUAGAUAAGUAUUCAGACCCUUCGCUAUGAGACUUGAAAUUGAGCUCAGGUGCAUCCUGUUUCCAUUGAUCAUCCUUGAGAUGUUUCUAGAACUAGAUUGGAGUCUACCUGUGGUAAAUUCAAUUGAUUGGACAUGAUUUAGAAAAGGGACACACCUGUCUAUAAAAGAUCCCACAGUUGACAGUGCAUGUCAGAGCAAAAACAAAGCCAUGAGGUUGAGGGAAUUGUCCUUAGAGCUCAGAGACAGGAUUGUGUCGAGGCACAGAUCUGGGGAAGAGUAACAGAAAAUGUCUGCAGCAUUGAAGGUCCAAAAGAACACAGUGGCCUCCAUCAUUCUUAAAUGGAAAAAGUUUGGAACCACCAAGACUCUUCCUAGAGCUGGUCUCCCGGCCAAACUGAGCAAUCAGGGAAGAAGGGCCUUGGUCAGGGAGGUAACCUAGAACCCGAUGGUCACUCUGACAGAGCUGCUCCAGAGUUCCUCUGUGGAGAUGGGAGAACAUUCCAGAAGGACAACAAUCUCUGCAGCACUCCACCAAUCAGGCCUUUAUGGUAGAGUGGCCAGAUGGAAGCCACUCCUCAGUAAAAGCCACAUGACAACCCGCUUGGAAUUUGCCAAAAGGCACCUAAAGAAUCUCAGACCAUGAGAAACAAGAUUCUCUGGUCUGAUGAAACCAAGAUUGAACUCUUUGGCCUGAAUGUCAAGCGUCAUGUCUGGAGGAAACCUGGCACCAUCCCUACAGUGAAGCAUGGUGGUGGCAGCAUCAUGCUGUGGAGGUGUUUU
ensembl:lncRNA